rnacentral:rRNA from 1 species
UACGAAGGGUGCAAGCGUUGCUCGGAAUUAUUGGGCGUAAAGGGGAGGUAGGUGGUCUCGUUUGUCCGGGGUGAAAUCCCUAGGCUCAACCUAGGACGUGCCUCGGAAACGGCGAGACUGGAGUACUGGAGAGGUUUGCGGAAUACCCGGUGUAGCGGUGAAAUGCGUAGAGAUCGGGUGGAACACCAGAGGCGAAGGCGGCAAACUGGACAGUUACUGACACUAAACUCCGAAAGCGUGGGGAGCAAACAGG